rnacentral:rRNA from 1 species
AAUCAACGCUGGCGGCGUGCCUCAGACAUGCAAGUCGAACGAUUAAAGCUCUCUUCGGAGAGUGCAUAGAGUGGCGCACGGGUGAGUAACACGUAAGUAAUCUACCUUCGAGUGGGGAAUAACGUCCGGAAACGGACGCUAAUACCGCAUAAUGCAGCGGCAUCGCAAGAUGACAGUUGUUAAAGGAGCAAUCCGCUUGAAGAGGAGCUUGCGGCAGAUUAGCUAGUUGGUAAGGUAAUGGCUUACCAAGGCUACGAUCUGUAACCGGUCUAAGAGGACGGUCGGUCACACUGACACUGAAUAACGGGUCAGACUCCUACGGGAGGCAGCAGUCGGGAAUUUUGGGCAAUGGGCGAAAGCCUGACCCAGCAACGCCGCGUGAAGGAUGAAGUAUUUCGGUAUGUAAACUUCGAAAGAAUGGGAAGAAUCAAUGACGGUACCAUUUAUAAGGUCCGGCUAACUACGUGCCAGCCGCCGCCGUAAUAC